rnacentral:ncRNA from 1 species
GAUAUGUUUCUGCCGAGAAACGCUUAUUCUUACUCCAGUAGGCCAUAGAAGGAGUAAAAAUAAGAGUCUAUUUUUU